rnacentral:rRNA from 1 species
UUUGGCCUACGGGGGGCAGCAGUGGGGGAUAUUGCACAAUGGGGGGAACCCUGAUGCAGCGACGCCGCGUGAGCGAUGAAGUAUUUCGGUAUGUAAAGCUCUAUCAGCAGGGAAGAAAAUGACGGUACCUGACUAAGAAGCCCCGGCUAACUACGUGCCAGCAGCCGCGGUAAUACGUAGGGGGCAAGCGUUAUCCGGAUUUACUGGGUGUAAAGGGAGCGUAGACGGCUGUGCAAGUCUGAAGUGAAAGGCAAGGGCUCAACCUUUGGACUGCUUUGGAAACUGUGCAGCUAGAAUGUCGGAGG